rnacentral:rRNA from 1 species
CCUACGGGAGGCUGCAGUGAGGAAUAUUGGUCAAUGGACGAGAGUCUGAACCAGCCAAGUAGCGUGAAGGAUGACUGUCCUAUGGGUUGUAAACUUCUUUUAUCAAGGAAUAAAACGAGGCACGUGUGCCUUUUUGCAUGUACUUUAUGAAUAAGCAUCGGCUAACUCCGUGCCAGCAGCCGCGGUAAUACGGAGGAUCCGAGCGUUAUCCGGAUUUAUUGGGUUUAAAGGGAGCGUAGAUGGGUUGUUAAGUCAGUUGUGAAAGUUUGCGGCUCAACCGUAAGAUUGCAAUUGAUACUGGCAGUCUUGAGUACAGUUGAGGUAGGCGGAAUGCGUGGUGUAGCGGUGAAAUGCAUAGAUAUCACGAAGAACCCCGAUUGCGAAGGCAGCAUACUAAACUGUGACUGACAUUGAUGCUCGAAAGUGUGGGUAUCAAACAGGAUUAGAUACCCCAGUAGUC